CGGAAACUCUCAGUGUGGAGUUUGAGAAUGAUAUUGGCACUUAAUAGGUAUGAAUGGAGUAGGCACCCAAGUAAUCAAGGUUCUUAUCAUAUGUAUUCCCGCAUAUGUCACCACUUUAACCCAUUUGAUUAUUGUUGUGAUAAUGAAAACUGGAAGUGAAGGUACUGGAACUGGAACUUGAGGUUCUGAAUCUGGAAUUAUGUUCAUAGCUGGUGAAGGUGGAGGUUUAUAUCUACAAGGACGACAGCACAGUGAAUUCUGCCACUGGGGUGACUGCAGGUUGCUUUCCCCUUGAGAGUUGUCCAAUUGAAGGUAAAAACUUUGCGGUUCUUGAGUUAUUUUUGUAUCUUGUUGAUCCACUUCUUGCACGUGCUCGCACCUUAGACUCCAUGCUUGGCCAUUUCCUCCUGCUGGCACUUUCUUGCACUGUAGAUUCAACUUCUGGGAUCCUUCCUUGUUUUCCUCUUGUGAAUUCAGCCACUCAACGAGCCAUUUUGGUGGUUGGAUGUUUCCUGCAGCUGGUGGAUCGCCGUGAGAUCGUAGUUUUUGUAGUGAAAUCACUAUCAUGAAUAGCGAAAGGGCUAUUACGAAAAGCGGUACAAGCAUAAACGCUAUUUGCUCUCUCUUUAAAUAUUCUCUAAAUGAUUUUUGCUGAAGCGAUUGUGUUGUUUGCACUUCAGAAUCAGAAGAAGGUUUUUGAUGAUCAUCUUUCGCAGCCAUUAGAACUCACCACCUUCUUCUUCUUCUUCUUCUCUCUCUCUC
rnacentral:misc_RNA from 1 species